ACAUAUAGAAGAGGAAAAUGGCCGCCGUGGCUCAUGAAUAUGGUCACAAACAGCGUCAUAAAACAGACCCACUUAACACCUGGUGGAUGACUCCUCUCUCCACAGUGGAAAACUCUCCUUUAAGGCUGUAACGUUAAACUCAGGCUUCCGGAGGCCUUUAAAUAGAUCUGUCAUAAAUCACAAGAGGGACUGAUUUAACACCAUUUCCACACUGAGGCGACUUCAUCUGAAAACUUCUUUUCAGCCACACUAAGCUUUCAUACUCACAUAUGUUUUUUUAUUGUACAACGUGCAGAGUAAAGAAACAGGUUACUUGCAGAACAUUGUCUUUUGAACAGAAGUCUACAGUAUUCCUGUGCUGCCUUCACUGACCUCUUUUAACCCCUCUCCCAGUCCUUGCAGAAUGAUCUAAGACUGCUAAAGUCAAACAUCUGACUCAACAUGGCAUCACUGCUGAGCGGAAGCAGAGGCUUGUGAGGGACUAAAAUAUUGAUGCUGUGAAAGGAGGCGUGAGUUCCCAGAUUUGCCUCUUGCGCUCUGCUACAAACCAGGCAAAUCGAUGCAUCUUCUCCAAACCAGCUACACAAUAUGUUGGCUUUUCAGCAGAGGAGCUCAAAUCUAAAACUUUAUGGUUUAUCUUUUUGAAAAAGUGAUGUGUUUAGGUCCAAGAUGACGACAACAAUACCUUUUCCAAAACUGCUCCUUGCUACAAGAGGACUGUGUAGUGAUCACUGCAUCUUCAGAGCAGCUGAUGACUGGGAAAAAGACAGAAGAAGAUUGAUGGUGCUUGGUGACAAAAAUCAGGUGAUGUAUUGUUGUUAGAUCCUGACUGAAGCGAGCACCUAUGAGCUUGAGUCUGGUAAAGCACAUGUUAAAUGCCUGACUGGGUGUCAGGCUGAAGCUGAGGACUUGGAAACCAACAUGUUGGCCACUCAACUCAUGACACCAUGUGGCUGCAGAAUGCAACUGUUUUACAGGUGUUUCUCAGUCACAGCACAUACCCAGUGAAUGAUCCUGCACUUCUCCAGUUUUCACUGAAAAAUUAAAAUAUGUUGUUGUUCUCUAUGAGAACACAUGCAUGAACAAAAACAAAUGGAUUCAUUCACAGAGAGGAUUGGAAUAAGAUUAUACUUAAGGCUUUUGAGAAGAUCAUGUGCUUAUGGGAAGUUGCGUAACACACUGAAUGAGUCAGAGCAGCUUCAGAGAAAGAGUUAAUGAAAACAGUGUGUGUGUUCUGUGUGUGUCUAGAUGUAUGUGUUGUUGGGAGCGUGUUGUGGAAAGUCUCAUCUUUAGGAUCCCUGCAGUGCUUCUCACACACAGUUACGUCAUGACCUUACACCUUCCACAGCACUGGCAGCUAGUCGUGCCCUCUGUCCAAAAUACACAACGCCAGUGUUACCAGGCGACAGAGACAGAGUUGACCUUUACAGUGACACUGUGAGGAUGUUUUGUAUUUGCACUUGUUAUAGUGGCAGCUAUAUGUCACAUGUAAAGCUAAGUAUAAGUAAUCUCAUGCUAUGAAUAUCAGAGAACGUGGCGCUACUGUUGCAUUCACACCAUAAUAAUUUGUAAUAAUUUUGAAAUAUCUGUUCCUCUGCUCUUCUUUUUGAUAAAUUUUGGAUUCUUUGUG